CCUACGGGAGGCAGCAGUGGGGAAUUUUGGACAAUGGGCGCAAGCCUGAUCCAGCCAUGCCGCGUGCGGGAAGAAGGCCUUCGGGUUGUAAACCGCUUUUGUCAGGGAAGAAAUCCUUUGAGUUAAUACCUCGGGGGGAUGACGGUACCUGAAGAAUAAGCACCGGCUAACUACGUGCCAGCAGCCGCGGUAAUACGUAGGGUGCGAGCGUUAAUCGGAAUUACUGGGCGUAAAGCGUGCGCAGGCGGUCUUGCAAGACAGGUGUGAAAUCCCCGGGCUUAACCUGGGAACUGCACUUGUGACUGCAAGGCUGGAGUACGGCAGAGGGGGAUGGAAUUCCGCGUGUAGCAGUGAAAUGCGUAGAUAUGCGGAGGAACACCGAUGGCGAAGGCAAUCCCCUGGGCCUGUACUGACGCUCAUGCACGAAAGCGUGGGGAGCAAACAGGAUUAGAUACCCUGGUAGUCCACGCCCUAAACGAUGUCAACUGGUUGUUGGACGGCUUGCUGUUCAGUACGAAGCUAACGCGUGAAGUUGACCGCCUGGGGAGUACGGCGCAGGUUGAAACGUUAAGAUUGACG
rnacentral:rRNA from 1 species